rnacentral:rRNA from 1 species
GACGAACGCUGGCGGCGUGCCUAAUACAUGCAAGUUGAGCGCUGAAGGUUGGUACUUGUACCAACUGGAUGAGCAGCGAACGGGUGAGUAACGCGUGGGGAAUCUGCCUUUGAGCGGGGGACAACAUUUGGAAACGAAUGCUAAUACCGCAUAAAAACUUUAAACACAAGUUUUAAGUUUGAAAGAUGCAAUUGCAUCACUCAAAGAUGAUCCCGCGUUGUAUUAGCUAGUUGGUGAGGUAAAGGCUCACCAAGGCGAUGAUACAUAGCCGACCUGAGAGGGUGAUCGGCCACAAUGGGACUGAGACACGGCCCAAACUCCUACGGGAGGCAGCAGUAGGGAAUCUUCGGCAAUGGGCGGAAGUCUGACCGAGCCACGCCGCGGGGGGGAAGAAGGGUUUCGGAUCGUAAAACUCUGUUGGUAGAGAAGAACGUUGGUGAGAGUGGAAAGCUCAUCAAGUGACGGUAACUACCCAGAAAGGGACGGCUAACUACGUG